rnacentral:rRNA from 1 species
CCUACGGGGUGCAGCAGUGAGGAAUAUUGGUCAAUGGACGAGAGUCUGAACCAGCCAAGUAGCGUGAAGGAUGACUGCCCUAUGGGUUGUAAACUUCUUUUAUAUGGGAAUAAAACGUUCCACGUGUGGGAUUUUGUAUGUACCAUAUGAAUAAGGAUCGGCUAACUCCGUGCCAGCAGCCGCGGUAAUACGGAGGAUCCGAGCGUUAUCCGGAUUUAUUGGGUUUAAAGGGAGCGUAGGUGGAUUGUUAAGUCAGUUGUGAAAGUUUGCGGCUCAACCGUAAAAUUGCAGUUGAAACUGGCAGUCUUGAGUACAGUAGGGGUGGGCGGAAUUCGUGGUGUAGCGGUGAAAUGCUUAGAUAUCACGAAGAACUCCGAUUGCGAAGGCAGUUCACUGGACUGCAACUGACACUGAGGCUCGAAAGUGUGGGUAUCAAACAGGAUUAGAUACCCUGGUAGUC